rnacentral:rRNA from 1 species
UACGGGGGGGGCAAGCGUUGCUCGGAAUUACUGGGCGUAAAGCGUGCGCAGGCGGUUUUGUAAGCCAGAUGUGAAAUCCCCGGGCUCAACCUGGGAAUGGCAUUUGGGACUGCAAGGCUUGAGUGCGGCAGAGGAGACUGGAAUUCCUGGUGUAGCAGUGAAAUGCGUAGAUAUCAGGAGGAAUACCGAUGGCGAAGGCAGGUCUCUGGGCUGACACUGACGCUCAUGCACGAAAGCGUGGGGAGCAAACAGG